UACGAAGGGGGCUAGCGUUGCUCGGAAUCACUGGGCGUAAAGGGUGCGUAGGCGGGUCCUUAAGUCAGGGGGGAAAUCCUGGAGCUCAACUCCAGAACUGCCUUUGAUACUGAAGAUCUUGAGUCCGGGAGAGGUGAGUGGAACUGCGAGUGUAGAGGUGAAAUUCGUAGAUAUUCGCAAGAACACCAGUGGCGAAGGCGGCUCACUGGCCCGGUACUGACGCUGAGGCACGAAAGCGUGGGGAGCAAACAGG
rnacentral:rRNA from 1 species